rnacentral:rRNA from 1 species
CCACGCUGUAAACACUCCGCCUGGGGAGUACGCACGCAAGUGUGAAACUCAAAGGAAUUGACGGGGACCCGCACAAGCAGCGGAGCAUGUGGUUUAAUUCGACGCAACGCGAAGAACCUUACCAAGUCUUGACAUAUUUCGGAGAAUAUUAGAGAUAAUAUUUUAUGACUUCGGUCAACUGAAAUACAGGUGGUGCAUGGUUGU